rnacentral:rRNA from 1 species
CAGCCGCCACGGUAAUACGGAGGGUGCAUGCGUUAAUCGGAAUUACUGGGCGUAAAGCGCACGUAGGCGGAUCAGAAAGUCAGAGGUGAAAUCCCAGGGCUCAACCUUGGAACUGCCUUUGAAACUCCUGAUCUUGAGGUCGAGAGAGGUGAGUGGAAUUCCGAGCGUAGAGGUGAAAUUCGUAGAUAUUCGGAGGAACACCAGUGGCGAAGGCGGCUCACUGGCUCGAUACUGACGCUGAGGUGCGAAAGCGUGGGGAGCAAACAGGAUUAGAUACCCGCGUAGUCCCUGUCUCUUAUAC